GGNGGGUAACCCUGCGGAAGGAUCA
rnacentral:rRNA from 1 species